rnacentral:rRNA from 1 species
UACGUAGGUGACAAGCGUUGUCCGGAUUUACUGGGUGUAAAGGGCGCGUAGGCGGGAUAGCAUGUCAGUCGUGAAAUGCCGAGGCUUAACCUCGGAGCUGCGAUUGAAACUGUUAUUCUUGAGUAUCGGAGAGGAAAGCGGAAUUCCUAGUGUAGCGGUGAAAUGCGUAGAUAUUAGGAGGAACACCAGUGGCGAAGGCGGCUUUCUGGACGACAACUGACGCUGAGGCGCGAAAGUGUGGGGAGCAAACAGG